UACGUAGGGUGCAAGCGUUGUCCGGAAUUAUUGGGCGUAAAGAGCUCGUAGGCGGUCUGUCACGUCGGCUGUGAAAUCCCGAGGCUCAACCUCGGGUCUGCAGUCGAUACGGGCAAACUAGAGUAUUGCAGGGGAGACUGGAAUUCCUGGUGUAGCGGUGAAAUGCGCAGAUAUCAGGAGGAACACCGGUGGCGAAGGCGGGGUCUCUGGGGACGGUACUGACGCUGAGACGCGAAAAGCGUGGGGGAGCAAACAGG
rnacentral:rRNA from 1 species